ACCUGGAACAUAGGUGCUUGCUACACACGU
rnacentral:piRNA from 1 species